rnacentral:rRNA from 1 species
CCUACGGGUGGCAGCAGUGGGGAAUAUUGGACAAUGGGCGAAAGCCUGAUCCAGCCAUGCCGCGUGUGUGAAGAAGGCCUUCGGGUUGUAAAGCACUUUCAGUGGGGAAGAAAGCCUUGGGGCUAAUACCCUCGAGGAAGGACAUCACCCACAGAAGAAGCACCGGCUAACUCCGUGCCAGCAGCCGCGGUAAUACGGAGGGUGCGAGCGUUAAUCGGAAUUACUGGGCGUAAAGCGCGCGUAGGCGGUCUGAUAAGCCGGUUGUGAAAGCCCCGGGCUCAACCUGGGAACGGCAUCCGGAACUGUCAGGCUAGAGUGCAGGAGAGGAAGGUAGAAUUCCCGGUGUAGCGGUGAAAUGCGUAGAGAUCGGGAGGAAUACCAGUGGCGAAGGCGGCCUUCUGGACUGACACUGACGCUGAGGUGCGAAAGCGUGGGUAGCAAACAGGAUUAGAUACCCUAGAUC